rfam:Fungal sp. No.14919 DNA, contig: Contig0046.
GGCUUCCUAGUGUAAUGGUUAUCACAGCGGAUUUUGAUUCCGCUAAUCUGAGUUCGAUUCUCGGGGAGGCCU